UACGGGGGGGGCAAGCGUUGUUCGGAAUUACUGGGCGUAAAGGGCGCGUAGGCGGCCUUCUAAGUCAGACGUGAAAUCCCCCGGCUUAACCUGGGAACUGCGUCUGAUACUGGGAGGCUUGAGUAUGGGAGAGGGAUGUAGAAUUCCAGGUGUAGCGGUGAAAUGCGCAGAUAUCAGGAAGAACACCCGUGGCGAAAGCGGCUCUCUGGAACGGUACUGACGCUGAGACGCGAAAGCGUGGGGAGCGAACAGG
rnacentral:rRNA from 1 species